rnacentral:rRNA from 1 species
GACGAACGCUGGCGGCGUGCUUAACACAUGCAAGUCGAACGGAAAGGCCCUGCUUUUGUGGGGUGCUCGAGUGGCGAAAGGGUGAGUAACACGUGAGUAACCUGCCCUUGACUUUGGGAUAACUUCAGGAAACUGGGGCUAAUACCGGAUAGGAGCUCCUGCUGCAUGGUGGGGGUUGGAAAGUUUCGGCGGUUGGGGAUGGACUCGCGGCUUAUCAGCUUGUUGGUGGGGUAGUGGCUUACCAAGGCUUUGACGGGUAGCCGGCCUGAGAGGGUGACCGGCCACAUUGGGACUGAGAUACGGCCCAGACUCCUACGGGAGGCAGCAGUGGGGAAUAUUGCACAAUGGGCGGAAGCCUGAUGCAGCAACGCCGCGUGCGGGAUGACGGCCUUCGGGUUGUAAACCGCUUUCGCCUGUGACGAAGCGUGAGUGACGGUAAUGGGUAAAGAAGCACCGGCUAACUACGG